rnacentral:misc_RNA from 1 species
ACGAGUUAGGGUCUUCCAGGCCCGACCUCCCAACCCUAUGUUUAUUGAACCUCUGUUGCUUCGGCGGACCCGUCUCACGGCCGCCGGAGGACCGCCCCGCGGCGUCCUCUGGCCAGCGUCCGCCGAUAGCCAACCACUCAAAACUCUGAAUGAAUCGUGUCAUGAUGUCUAAGUCUAUGAUUAAAUUAAAGCA